rnacentral:rRNA from 1 species
GUAGUAAUACUUAGUGGCAGACGGGUGAGUAACAUGUAGGUAUCUGCCCUUUGGCCUGGAAUAACACGAGGAAACUUGUGCUAAUACCGGAUAAGUCUUUACGGAGAAAGCUUUAUGCACCAUUGGAUGAGCCUGCACUUGAUUAGUUUGUUGGUGGGGUAAUGGCCUACCAAGACUGUGAUCAAUAGCUGAUUUGAGAGGAUGAUCAGCCACAUUGGGACUGAGACACGGCCCAAACUCCUACGGGAGGCAGCAGUGGGGAAUCUUGCACAAUGGAGGAAACUCUGAUGCAGCGAUGCCGCGUGAGUGAAGAAGGCCCUUGGGUUGUAAAGCUCUUUCGUCGGGGAAGAAAAUGACUGUACCCGAAUAAGAAGGUCCGGCUAACUUCGUGCCAGCAGCCGCGGUAAUACGAAGGGACCUAGCGUAGUUCGGAAUUACUGGGCUUAAAGAGUUCGUAGGUGGUUGAAAAAGUUGGUGGUGAAAUCCCAGAGCUUAACUCUGGAACUGCCAUCAAAACUUUUCAGCUAGAGUAUGAUAGAGGAAAGCAGAAUUUCUAGUGUAGAGGUGAAAUUCGUAGAUAUUAGAAAGAAUACCAAUUGCGAAGGCAGCUUUCUGGAUCAUUACUGACACUGAGGAACGAAAGCAUGGGUAGCGAAGAGGAUUAGAUACCCUCGUAGUCCAUGCCGUAAACGAUGUGUGUUAGACGUUGGAAAUUUAUUUUCAGUGUCGCAGCAAAAGCGAUAAACACACCGCCUGGGGAGUA